ACCUACUGUUUAAUUUUGAGGGUUCGUUUUUACGAAUGCUCAAAAUUAGCACUUUAAGCAACGGGAUUUAUCCGUUGGCGCUGUGCGUUAGCACUUUAAGCAACGGAAUUUAUUCGUUGGCGCUGUGCGUUAGCACUUUGAAAACUGCAUAUAUAUUUAGUGAUAUGACAUCUAAUUUGUAAUAUAUAAAGCUGAGAACUUUUUAAAAUUAUCGAAGUUGAUAGCUUCUAAUCUAUCAAACCUUUCUAACUGGUCAA
rnacentral:misc_RNA from 1 species